rnacentral:rRNA from 1 species
AUGAGCUUCUGCGCCCGCGCCUCGAUCCCGCCGCCUCCCCCUCAACCGGACGACGGCGCCGGCGACCAGCUCCCCCAGGCCGGCCUCGCCUCCCUUCUCUUCCUGUCCCCUUCCUCCCUUGGUUCCUCUUCUCUUUCUCACUCUAGUAUCUCCCGCCCUCUCUGUUCUUCGCAGGAGUAUGCCAUGGAAGCUGCAAGGAGCUCCAGCCCGCCGGCCACCAUCUCCAGUCAGAUCCGUCUGGUCCCGGCCAUCUUCGUCGACCGCCGGCCAUCCCUGCCCGCCUUGCGCGUCGCUGUCGUCGCCUUCGUACCGCAGCCCAAGCGCUGCUCCGCGCCGCGCUGCCUCCUUCUGUCGGGAGCAGACAAAGGAAGCUGCCCCUGCCCGUUGACUUCCCACGCCGGCAUGUGCGCAAGGGCCGCAAGGCUAGGGGCGCCCAGCUCCUUCCGCUCACCCAGCCAACCAAGGGCCAGCAUCGCCAUGGCCGCCGGCCUCUGUUUUCCCGCUCUUCGGUUUCUUUCCGGAGUUGUGAGGAUUCGUUCGACUACGUCCGUUUGUCUUCUUCAUGGACUCGUUCUUCUUCCUUGCGGGAUCUCAGGCAAGAUGACCACCCCUCGAAAUCACUUCUAUCUUUGCUUUGCUAGUUGCUCGUUCUAUUGCCAUGCCGUGCUACCUACCACUUGCUUUUCAAGCCUCCCAAGUUGCCAUGAAACUCUAACCUUUGUCACCUUCCUAGCAAACCGUUGUUUGGCUAUGUUACCGCUUUUGCUCAGCCCCUCUUAUAGUGUUGCUAGUUGCAGGUGA